rnacentral:rRNA from 1 species
CAAUAGUGUAUAUUAAAGUUGUUGCGGUUAAAACGCUCGUAGUUGGAUUUCUGUUGAGGGCAGCCGGUCCGCACUUCGUGCGUGUAUCUGGUUUGACCUCGGCAUCCUCUCAAAAUACGUUUCUGCGCUUGAUUGCGUGGAGCGGAGUUUGAGACUUUUACUUUGAGGAAAUUAGAGUGUUCACGGCAGGCAAUCGCCUUGAAUAUAUUAGCAUGGAAUAAUAAUAUAGGAUCUUGGUUCUAUUUUGUUGGUUUCUAGAGCUAAGAUAAUGAUUAAUAGGGACAAUUGGGGGCAUUCGUAUUAACGCGUCAGAGGUGGAAUUCUUGGAUUGCGUUACGACGAACUACUGCGAAAGCAUUUGCCAAGGAUGUUUUCAUUGA